GUUCUUGUCAUGACCCAAAUCACGUCCUGACCGUGAUGAGUAUCUCAAGCCCCACGUGGAUCGAACAUCGCCCCCUUCACAUAACCUAACCAACAUAUCAACCACAAGAAUUGGAUGAAUCUUAAACAUAUAACAAGAUAUGCAAAAUGUGACUAACAAUAGCUCAUGAAAUGUCUAAAUCAUUCAUCAACACAACAUACUAAACCAACAAACCCAAGUCCACAG
rnacentral:lncRNA from 1 species